GUGCUUGCUUCAGCAGCAUGUGUACUAAAAUUGAAGUGAUACAGAGAAGAUUAGCAUGGCUCCUUUGCAAGGGUGACGCGCAAAUUCGUGAAGCAUUCCAUAUUUUU